CGAACACAUGCAAGUCGAACGCAGUAGCAAUACUGAGUGGCAAACGGGUGAGUAUAAUGUGGGAAUCUGCCUUUUGGUUUGGAAUAACACGGGGAAACUUGUGCUAAUACCGAAUAAGCCCUUACGGGGAAAGUUUUAACGCCGAAAGAUGAGCCUGCACUUGAUUAGCUAGUUGGUAAGGUAAAGGCUUACCAAGGCAACGAUCAAUAGCUGUUCUUAGAGGAAGACCAGCCACAUUGGGACUGAGACACGGCCCAGACUCCUACGGGAGGCAGCAGUGGGGAAUCUUGCACAAUGGGGGAAACCCUGAUGCAGCGAUGCCGCGUGAGUGAAGAAGGCCCUUGGGUUGUAAAACUCUUUCGUCGGGGAAGAAAAUGACUGUACCCGAAUAAGAAGGUCCGGCUAACUUCGUGCCAGCAGCCGCGGUAAUACGAAGGGACCUAGCGUAGUUCGGAAUUACUGGGCUUAAAGAGCUCGUAGGUGGUUAAAAAAGUUGAUGGUGAAAUCCCAAGGCUCAACCUUGGAACUGCCAUCAAAACUUCUUAGCUAGAGUGUGACAGAGGUUAGUGGA
rnacentral:rRNA from 1 species